CGUUUUUUUUUGCAGUUAUGACAACAAAAAGAAUUGUUAUUUUAAAAGGUAGUAAAGGUUUUAGAUGUCUCUUAUCUCGGUACAACAUAUAAAUGUACAAUAACUUAAUUUCAGAUAUUGAUAUAUCUGGGAUAGAUGCACUCCAAGCCUUAGCUCUAAGCGGAGAAAUUGCAGAAAAUAAUCAAGAAGAAUUGGACUCUAAUGAUAGCAUAAGCGAGCCAACCGCGUAUUUAAGAGGACAAUUUGUAAAAAUCCAGGACAAGCCAAAAGAAAGUAAAUAUACACGUA